rnacentral:rRNA from 1 species
AUUGAACGCUGGCGGCAUGCUUUACACAUGCAAGUCGAACGGUAACAGGCCUUCGGGUGCUGACGAGUGGCGAACGGGUGAGUAAUGCAUCGGAACGUGCCCAGAGGUGGGGGAUAACGCAGCGAAAGCUGUGCUAAUACCGCAUGUGAUCUGAGGAUGAAAGCGGGGGACCAGGCAGCAAUGUUUGGCCUCGCGCCUUUGGAGCGGCCGAUGUCAGAUUAGGUAGUUGGUGGGGUAAAGGCCUACCAAGCCGACGAUCUGUAGCUGGUCUGAGAGGACGACCAGCCACACUGGGACUGAGACACGGCCCAGACUCCUACGGGAGGCAGCAGUGGGGAAUUUUGGACAAUGGGCGCAAGCCUGAUCCAGCAAUGCCGCGUGCGGGAAGAAGGCCUUCGGGUUGUAAACCGCUUUUGUACGGAACGAAAAGGCUCUGGCUAAUACCUGGGGCUGAUGACGGUACCGUAAGAAUAAGCACCGGUUAACUACGUG